rnacentral:rRNA from 1 species
UACGAAGGGGGCUAGCGUUGCUCGGAAUCACUGGGCGUAAAGGGUGCGUAGGCGGGUCUUUAAGUCAGGGGUGAAAUCCUGGAGCUCAACUCCAGAACUGCCUUUGAUACUGAGGAUCUUGAGUACGGGAGAGGUGAGUGGAACUGCGAGUGUAGAGGUGAAAUUCGUGAUAUUCGCAAGAACACCAGUGGCGAAGGCGGCUCACUGGCCCGUUACUGACGCUGAGGCACGAAAGCGUGGGGAGCAAACAGG